ensembl:lncRNA
CCCCGCCCCCAUUCAAUUUCCUGUUUCCUUUCCUUCCCCCAUUUUCCUUUUCCCCCUCACCCUUCCUCAUCUUCCCACUCCUCCUUUUCCACACCUCAUCUUCCCUCCUAUUUCCUCAUUUUUUUAAUAUAUUUUUCUCACGUUUCCUCAUUUUUUCCCACCUCCUUUCUUCCUUCCCAUUUCCUCCCACUUCCCCUUCCCAACUCCUAUCCCAUUCUUCUCCUUUUUUCCUCCAUUCCUCCUUAUUUUCCAUCGUGUUUUUUACCACCGCGGCUGUGCCACGCAUCACCUUCACACCCAACGUUGGUGUCUGUCCCUAAAAACACCUUUUUCUCCCCAUUUUUGGGGGGCUCUUACCACUUCGCACAGCUCCAUGUGCCCCCACUGAACCUUUUUGGGUGCAUUUUCGCUCCUUUUGGUCAAUUCACCCAUUUGCUAUCGGGAGGACCCCUCCCAUCAACCUCUGCCCUCAAUUCUGCAGUUUCAUUUUUUACCAUUUUCCCCCGUUUUUUGACCACAGCCCCCACUCCUGGGGGGUUCCCCACCACCUCUCUGUGCUUUUGGUUAUUUUUGUGUACCCCUCCCCCCCCCUUUUUUCUUUUUCUUUUGACCGUUUUCCCCCCAUUUUCAGCCACAGAAGCCCCCACCCCCAGGGGUUUCCCUCCGUCAUUUUUGGGGCAUUUCCCCCACCAUACGCCCCCAUUCCCAGGGGGUUCCUCACCACCUCUCUCCCUUAUAUUUAACAUUAUCAUCAUUUCUUUUUUCCACCGUUUCUCCCAUUUUUGGACCAUUCAAAGCACCGCUAAUCGGGGUGUCUCUCCCUCAUUUUUUUUGGGGGGGGGGGCAUUUUCCCCCAUUUCUCCCCCCACUUUCCCCCUCUGGAGUCCCCCACUCCCCAGAGGGUUCCCCACCAAAUCAUUUUCCUUCAUACCACAAUUCUUUUUUUUUUUUCCCCCAUUUAACCCCAUUUCCACCUCAGGAAAGCCCCGCUAUAUCCAGAGCUUUCCCCCCAGUAGGGCAUUAUUCCCCAUUUCUCCCCUCCUCACAGCACUAUCAGCCCCCACCCUCUGACAUCCCCCACCACCCCUUUUCUCCCCACGCUUCCAUCAUCCACCACUCUCUCUUUUUUAAACCAUUUCCCCCCAACUCCAACCACCGCUCUUGGAGAACCGGGGGGGGGGUGGGGGGGGAUGUCUCUCUCCCUCAUUUUCGGGGCGUUCUCCCCCAUUUCACCACCUCCGGAAGCCCCCACACCCCACAGGGCUUCCCCCCCCCUCCUCCUUUUGCCCAUUUUCUCCCUUUUUGGCCCCGUUUGCUGGCCCACACCUACCCCAUGUUGCCUCCACGGCCUCCCCGGCUACCACGGCCACCGCGCUCGUAGCCGCCCCGGCCGUACCCUCCGCGCCCGCGGCUGCGCUCCUGCUGCCCUCCAUAGCUCUGCUCCUGGUAUCCUCCUGAGCUGCUCAGCGGGGCCUGCUCCUGCCCAUAGCUGCUGGCUGGGGGGGGAAAAAAACCAUAUCACACAUCAGGACGUUCCCUUUAAUGCAUUUCCACCCCCCCGCCCCAUCCACAAAUGCUUCCUUUUUCAACCCGCUCUGUUGCAAACUUCAGUUUCCGGCUCACGUUUUAAACUUAAGUCUCACCUGCCCCCUUCCUGGCUUUAAUCUCACAGGGUCACAGAAUGGUUGGGUUGGAAGGGACCCCAAAGGCUCCAACCCCCCCCAAAACAGGCAGGGCCACCAACAUCCACUGUGGCUUUACCUCUCAGGGUCACAGAAUGGUUGGGUUAGAAGGGACCCCAAAGGCUCCAAGCCCCCCCAAAACAGGCAGGGCCACCAACAUCCACUGUGGCUUUACCUCUCAGGGUCACAGAAUGGUUGGGUUAGAAGGGACCCCAAAGGCUCCAACCCCCCCCAAAACAGGCAGGGCCACCAACAUCCACUGUGGCUUUAUCUCACAGGGUCAAAGAAUGGUUGGGUUGGAAGGGACCCCAGAAGAUCACGAGGAUCCAACCUCCCCCCCAAAACAGGCAGGGCCACCACCUCCACUGUGGCUUUAAUCUCACAGGGUCACAGAAUGGUUGGGUUGGAAGGGACCCCAAAGGCUCCAAGCCCCCCAAAACAGGCAGGGCCACCAACAUCCACUGUGGCUUUAAUCUCAUAGGGUCACAGAAUGGUUGGGUUGGAAGGAACCCCAAAAGAUCACGAGGAUCCAACCCCCCCCCCAAAACAGGCAGGGCCACCAACAUCCACUGUGGCUUUAAUCUCACAGGGUCACAAAAUGGUUGGGUUGGAAGGGACCCCAAAGGCUCCAAGCCCCCCCAAAACAGGCAGGGCCACCAACAUCCACUGUGGCUUUAAUCUCAUAGGGUCACAGAAUGGUUGGGUUGGAAGGGACCCCAAAAGAUCACGAGGCUCCAACUCCCCCCAAAACAGGCAGGGCCACCAACAUCCACUGUGGCUUUAAUCUCACAGGGUUACAGAAUGGUUGGGUUGGAAGGGACCCCAAAGGCUCCAACCCCCCCCCCCCCCCAAAACAGGCAGGGCCACCAACAUCCACUGUGGCUUUAUCUCACAGGGUCACAGAAUGGUUGGGUUGGAAGGGACCCCAAAACAUCACAAGGCUUCAACCAACCCCCACCACCACAGGCAGGGCCACCAACAUCCACUGUGGCUUUAUCUCACAGGGGUCACAAAAUGGUUGGGUUGGAAGGGACCCCAAAGGCUCCAACCCCCCCCAAAACAGGCAGGGCCACCGACAUCCACUGUGGCUUUAAUCUCUCAGGAUCAUAGAAUGGUUGGGAUGGAAGGGACCCCAAAAGACCACGUCCACAUUUAAGGCCAUCCCAUUGGAUACCCCAUCCAACGUGGCCUUCAACACCUCCAGGGACGGACGGGGCAUCCACAGCCUCUCCGGGCAGCUGUUCCCCCUCACAUCCAACCUCCAUCUGCCCUCCUUCAACUCCAAACCACGUCCCCUCAUCCUGCUGUUAUCUGCCCUUCCAAGAGUCGCCUCCCCUCCUGUUUGGGGGCUCCCCUUUAAGGUCCCGGAAGGCUGCACUGAGGUCACCCCGCAGCCUUCUGUUCCCUUCUCCAGGCUCAAUACCCCAUCUCCCUCAGCCUGUCUCUGUAUGGGAGGUGCUGCAGCCCUCCGAUCACCUCUGUGGCCCUCCUGUGAAUAGAAGGGACCCUCCGCUGUCUUUCUCCUAUUGGGGGCUCCAGAUUUGGACGCAGUGCUGCAGAUCUCCGUUGGUUUAAAAGCUCGAAGCCCCCCCAAAACUCAACAAACCAUCCCAUCCUCCGAACCGUCUCAGUGCUUCCAAAGGCUCUGAGCACCGGAAGCCAUAGAAAAUCCUUCAGCUUCUCUGCCCAGCAGUUCAGACCAUCCACCACUGUGGCCCUUCCUUCACAGUCACCUCUUCUGUGCGCCUCUUUUUGGGGCUAUUUCAUGCAUUUUCAUGGAUAUCUCACAUGUAACGCUCCAUACUACGUGCAUACGUGUGCACACACAUCCCUACAUUCAUACACUCUCCAAAUCCUCCAUUUCCACCGUUCAGACGACCUCAGAAGGGAUAAAUUGUACAAAACAGCCCAAACGUCCCCAAUUUGGCCCCAUUUCCC